AAUCUACUGUGAUUGGUCAAUUUUUUACGGUUCCGGCAUAAGUUAACGGAUUACGGCCAUCAUAAACUAGUCUUUAGGUUUCUCUCUGGUAUUCAUUUGGCACAUCUCAUCUGUCUAGUUUGCUGAACGUAAUAAUUUAAAAAGAAAAUUAGACGCGUAUCACAAGAGAUCAAUUGACAUAUCUAACUUUAUUUAUUAACGGUCACAGGAUAUUUUUAAUAGUGAGUGUUUGAUCCUGUCAGUAUAUGAAAGUGGGCAGAUCCCUCAAUACUGUGGUGCGUUCUAGCUGCUACUUGAAAAACUACUACAACUUUUAUAGAACUAUGACUUCCUUGCUGGUUCCUCCGACGUCAGUUCGUGGAAUGACUUGCUUGGAUCGUGAUGCAUUUACUACAGUCGUGAACAUACCAAUAUUAAAAUUAAUAAGUAACAUCGCUAUUUCAAACAUUAAGCCUAUUUUAAAGAAGUACAUCUUGAAGUUACCUGAAUUUAAGUCAAUUAACAAAACAAGUAAUGAAGUUAUUGUUUAUCUAAAUCCGAAUGUUGUUACAAAAUUCGAGGAUAUCACUGAGAAUGAUAGGAACUCAUUGGCGGGUCAGUAUGAACAUUUUGACAUUAAGAGUGUUACACUUAAAUAUGAGAAUUGGCGUAGCCACGAGAUAUUAAAAGCAAUUCUACCGGAAGACAUUCAACCUCCUACAGCGUACAGCUUAGUAGGACACAUUAUGCAAUUGAAUCUGCGUGAUAUACAUUUGCCCUACAAAACAAUUAUCGGCCAAGUGUUUCUCGACAAGACUUCGAGUGUACGAACAGUAGUAAACAAAGUAAAUGCCAUCGAUACAACAUUUCGAUACUUUACCAUGGAGAUCCUGGCUGGUGAAAAGAACACGAUAACAACAACGAAAGAGCAUGGUUGUACAUAUCAGUUUGAUUUCGCGCGAGUUUACUGGAAUUCGCGUCUAUCUAAUGAACACACAAGCUUAGCGGCAUGCAUGAAAAAAGACGACGUUCUGUAUGACGUAUUUGCAGGAGUGGGGCCCUUUGCUGUGCCUGCUGCGCGCAAAGGUGUUAGAGUACUUGCUAAUGACUUAAAUCCUGAAUCGUACAAGUGGCUCCAGAUAAAUGCCACUGCUAAUAAAAUAAAGAAUAACUUCAAAGCUUUUAACAUGGAUGGUAGAGAUUUUUUAAGAGACGUUGUUAAGAAUGAUGUUCUGUCCAGACGAGCUCGAGGCUCACAUGGUUCCGAGCACAUAAUCAUGAACUUACCCGCGUUGGCUGUUGAAUUUCUGGACAUAUUACCCGAUUGGUUUACACAAGAAGAGCUUAAAAAGGUCUGUCUUAAGCCACUUACAUUCCACAUCUAUUGUUUCGUGAAAACAGAUAAAUUAGAUGAUGUUUGCAAGCUCGGGAAGUUAUUGAUUGAGGAAAAGAUCGAUUGUACACUGUGUCAUGAUUCUCUCCUCAGUCUACAAAACGUUAGAGGUGUUUCGACGAACAAAGAGAUGGUUCGAGUAUCAUUUUUGCUAAAAGAAAGCAUGAUAAAAGGCAAGGAGCCAGCAAUGAAGAAAGCUAAAAUAGAGGAAGUACCGUGCGAUAAUUUAUUCAUAACUAAUGAUAUUGCAGAAAACAAUGGGAAAGAACAAGGGCAGUAAUAAAAAUAAAAAUGUUUUUAAAGUGGCCACAGUUCGCAGUAUCAAGCUGAAAGCUAAAGCACAAAAGGUGGUCACUAAACUGAAAAAACUUGAUGAAAAAGGAAGUAAGACAGCAAAGAAAGACAAAACAGCCAAUAUGGAUCAACUACUUGAGGAAUUGCGUAAGGACGUGCAAGGAUCAA